GUUCCCAUGCGGCUCUUCUCUUCAGCAGGAAGAGGUGAUAUGGAGACGGAUGGAGCCAGAAAAGGAGCAAUAUUAGAAGAAAACCUGCUGCAGUCUAAAGAUUAGAGGCUUCCAGCAGGACGACGACCCGAAGCACAAAGCCAGGGCAACGAUGGGCCUUUUCUGUCUCUGCAGAAGAUGAAAGGAGAAAGUCAGAAGGAGGUUCAAAUUACGUAGAGGCCUGAAGGACCUGGGAACUGGAGGAAGGUGAGCAGAAGAAAAAGAAAAGGAUAAAUCAAUGUGAGGCAUCAGGAGGAGGGAAUAAUGGAAACAACACAAAAGCAUGGAGGAGGAUGACAGAAGACAAUAAAAGCUUGUCCUGUGCAUUAAAACCUGAAGUCAUGU